CCUACGGGAGGCAGCAGUGAGGAAUAUUGGUCAAUGGGCGCGAGCCUGAACCAGCCAAGUCGCGUGAGGGAGGACGGCCCUACGGGUUGUAAACCCCUUUUGCCGGGGAGCAACGGGCGUCACGUGUGGCGUCACUGCGAGUACCCGGAGAAAAAGCAUCGGCUAACUCCGUGCCAGCAGCCGCGGUAAUACGGAGGAUGCGGGGGUUAACCGGCUUGAUUGGGUUUAAAGGGUGCGUAGGCGGAUCGUUAAGUCAGUGGGAAAAUUGUGGGCCUAAACCCCUUCCCGCCAUUGAAACUGGCGAUCUUGAGUGGAAGAGAGGUAUGCGGAAUGCGUGGUGUAGCGGUGAAAUGCGUAGAUAUCACGCAGAACCCCGAUUGCGAAGGCAGCAUGCCGGCUUCCGACUGACGCUGAAGCACGAAAGCGUGGGGAUCGAACAGGAUUAGAUACCCCAGUAGUC
rnacentral:rRNA from 1 species